rnacentral:lncRNA from 10 species
UCUCGCUAUGUUGCCCAGUCUGGUCUCAAACUCCUAGCCUCAAGUGAUCCUUCUCCCUUGGCCUCCCAAAGUGCUGGGAUUACAAGCAUGAGCCACGAUGGCUGGCCCUGAAUUUGGACUUCCGGCCAAAAAACUUUAUGGAGGCUUGUGUUGAUGUGGAGGUGCAGUGAUGUGGAAGUGGCCUGAGAUGCUGAGCUCACAGGUAGAGGACCGCACCCCCAAGAAAUCUCAGCAGGCCAUCAAAUUCCAAACAGGCAACCAGAGCCUCUGAAGAUGGCCCCUUCUUCUGGGGAUCCUCACAUAGGCCUCGGAGGAAGCUCUGACUGCCGUUUCCCCAAAACAGCGCCCCCGUCUGCAGAAAGUGGUUAAGAUUGGUCUUAGUCCUUAUCCUUAAUCUAACGGGAGUUAGAUAUACUUCUUUAGACGGGGGAAUGAGACAGCCAGGUGGGAGGGGGUCCCUGGAGAAACUCCAACCAGCCUGUCUACUGAGGUGGAGCCUGGGAAGUUUGAGCCCUUUGCAGUAGGGAGGAGCUGGCCUUGCCUCUUCCUGUGUGGAACCUGGGAUUCGGACGUCGGGCGGGAAGUGCUCUAGCAGGGGACUCUGGACUUGCGGAGGACCCCUGUUCCCCCCCUCAUUUUUCCCUGUUUCACCCAAUAAAACCCUGCUUUACUCACCCUUUAAACCAUCUGCGAACCUAAAUUUUUGUUGUCGCGGGAUGGACAAGAACGCUGUCUUUAGCUAAACUAAGGAAAAGACCUGUAACACCUUA